UACAUUCAAUACUUUGUGGAAAACCAAUUAAGAGUACUUUAAGGCAGCUAAACAAUGUUAUUCCCAUUUUAAAAAUAGACCCUUUGAGAAACAGAACUAUUAUAUUUCUUGCUCAAUGAUGUACGUGUUCAUUUCUGACAAAGUUAAGAAUAUAACCCAGGAAGGCUGACUUCUAUUCUCGAGGUGGUUAGGAGGCUACAACACCAGGUGAAUGCAAUUACCUUGCAGUGUGUCCUGAAGGGCUUCAAUUUGCUCAGUCAGCCUCUGAUUACAGUUUUUCAGGUGGUAAUUUUCUAGCUCAAGCUAUGGAACAACAAUAACAAAAACUGAAAAUUAAUGCAUAAUGUGUAUGUGCUUGUGUUCCUCUACACAGAACAGGUCUUCAAUUUUACUUGCAUUCAAGUAUCUGAACAGCAAAGUGGAAAAAAUUAGGCAAAUUCUACCAGUCACCUUGAAAUCCUCCUCCUCUGCAGCUCUACUCACACUUUGCUGCACUGUCUCAAAUAGACUCUGUCUAUUCUAUUUGUACUUCUCAGAUAGAUCUUUUAGUUUUGUUUUCUGCUGUUGUUUAUCACUUAUUCCCAUCUCAGAAAUAACUGUUAUGAAAGAGACAAUCAAGUAAUUAUAACCCAGGAACAGCAUUUUUCCUCUCACCCUGUAUGUGUAAAACAAGAUCCCCAUCUGCUCCAGAAGACCAAAGAAAAAAAUGUUAUACAUUUGCAAUUUUGCCUUAUGUCUGUAAAGGAAUUAUUAGAUCAUGGCCUCAACUGGUGAUUGAGCACCUGGUGAAGGAGUAUGGCUGGCCCAGGAAGCACAGGUGCAAACAAUUUACGUGUACUUUCCACAUGACCAGAAGAGGUGUACCCAGGGUCCACUCCCAUCCUCCCCGCCCCCCCCAACGCUCAUUUAAGGGCUAGCCUGUAAAGGGAGAAUAUUUUCUAGAUGAAGACUUUUUUCUUAGAAAGAAUGUUUCAUGGCUAGAGAACCUUAUCACUUGUUGGAGAAACUUCAUCUAUGUUGUGUCUGAGUAAGCUGGACCAGGGAAGUGACCUGAAACCAGAGACCUGAUGCCUGACCUCCACACACUAUACUUGAUCUCAGUAAGUACUAACAGUUUACCAAUCUACUUUGAUUUUGAAUUAUUUAUCAAUUAGUUAAACUGCAACUCAAACACCGAAAUAUUUUCAUGUAAAAUUAUGGUAAGGUGUUUCAUUAAAAAGAAAGUAAUUUACUUAGUAAUGAAAGAUUAUCUUAUUCCUCAUAUUAUAAAGCAGACUACAGGGCCAAGGCCUUUACAAGAGCUGAAAUUUCUGCUGUAGAUAUAGCUCCUGUCAUCCACCAAAUGAGAAUGGAAAAGGCUAAGAGCUGGUCUUUUAUAUUGAAGACAUCUGGUAAGAUAAGAACUAUGCCAAGGAAUCCCUGAAGACUAGGAAAAGCCCCUUCCCAAGGUGCAGCCCAUGCUGAGUCAGAGAUAGGCCCUACAGUGAAUUUGUGGAGCAUUCAAUAUGCGAGGAGGUCAGACAAAUACCAUGACUAGAUAUGAGCAUUACAAUUUAGGGUCUCACCACUGAUUCAACAGUAGUGUAAGUCCUUGAAUGAUAUCAAUCAAUCUUUUGUAAUGAAGAGACAAAUGCUACUGUGGCUGAAUGAAGGUUUUUGCUUGAAAAGAGGAAGAAAAAAUCUCAUUGAGGACAUCAUUUGAGUUGCCUUCAGAUCCUCUGUAUUGAGGGUAAUGUGUAAUAGAGAUACAAGCUGUACCUUUGAACCAUAUAUUACAAAGUCCCUCCAGAUCAUGAAGCUUACAAAUCUGCAUGCAGAAGAUGCCCUUACCUGUUUUGCUAACUGUGUCUCCAGUCUGCUAAUCAUAUCUUCCUUUCUUUGCACUGUACCCAUCAGCUCUUGAUAUUUCCUGUACAGAGUGCUGUUUGAUUCACUAGUCUUCAUGUUGGCUAGUUUUAUUUCCUCUCCCAUGACUCUGACCUGUAAGAACAAUCAGAGGGAGAACAAAUAAGGAAAAAGAAAAAAAAAAAAAAGCAAAUGAAGGAGCUGCUUGGUUAGUGAUAAGACCCUAACUCUCGGAAUAUCUAUUAUUUCAUAUUUUUGUAGUCAGAAUAGGAAGAAAAAAACUUAAAUACUGUUUAUGAUAAGAAUAUUUUCCAUUUGUUUGUGUUGCUAAAGGUGUAAAAGAUGCAAACUGAAAAAUGAACACAAGUAUACUGUGGAUUGUGACAAACUUGCAUAUUACUGGUCAGAGAGACUGUGCGAGCACUACAGUCUGUACAGAUAUCUAAGCAAGGUAUACCACAUUUUUCCUCCUUUUCAAUACCAUGGCCAGCUUUUUAACCCCAUUCAGCACCAAAGUAUACACCAGAACAACCUGAGAAGACCUCUCUCUAUGAUCUCCAGCUUAAGAUACUGUUUUAGCAACUUCUGGCAAUCUGGUAAGUGUGUUUUUAUAGAUUUGCCUAUUCUUGAGCUCCCGUGAGUGCCAACACUUGGUGAUUCUCCUGCUGAGAUAAACAAUGUAGUGUUCCCUCACUACUGACAGGUUUCAAUGCUUUACAAUUUAGCUGCUGCUGGAGCCUUCUAAAUUUUUAAUUGAUUUUUGAAAACUUCAUUUUCUUCAAAAUCAAUAUUUCUCAAUAUGCCAGUCUUUUUUUAAUCACUACUUCAUCCUAAUGUAAUGGAUUAUAGGUCUUCCAUUCUAAAAGUGAAUGGAUUUCUGCCAGCUUAACUCAAACGUUAAAUGUGGUAUUUAACAGCAGGACGAUAUCUGGCUCCAGUACAUCCCAGACAGACUGAAUCUGCAAAAUAAUCCGUUCCAAGUACUGUUAAUUUGCCCUGAGUUUGGAACCAGGAAGGCAGAAGAUGGGCAAUGAUCUGGGCACCUCAGAAAGCCUGUGCAAAGCUCACUUGUAACCAGGUCACUGUGCUGCCAAGACAACAGCCUGCAGUGUCGCUCACCAGCAGAGGAGCCAGAGUGGAAAUAACUGGCUGAUUCCAGAGACACCGGACCCCUGCUGAUGGCUGCACCGAGUCGGCAUCCAGGGGUACUGCAUGCUAGGGGAGUGCAGGAGGGCAACGGAGUGCUGCCUGGGGCACUGUGCUGAGGCACCUUGGCAUGCUGACCUGCAGCCAGGAGUGAGCCAACCCAAGCAGUGCUGCUGGGAAGCCGAGCCCAGGUUACUGACGUGGCAGCUCGCGCCAUGUGAACUGCAGUGCUGGCAGUUAAACUGCUGGGUUUUAAAUUCUUCUUGUUCUGAACAGUGAUCUAGAUUAUUUUGUCUAAGCGGAUUUUAAGAAUCUGAAGGAUUUAAAAUGUUAGCAUGCAUUGUACUACAUGAGUGAUUUUUUUAUUCAGUUUUUUUGAGUUAAAAUGGUAAAAUCUGCCUCGAAGUCCAAAAAUUAGUUAAAGAAUGAUUUAAAGAUGGGAAUCAGGUUUCCAAGCUUUCAAUCAGUAGCUUUCCCUGACAAAUCCAUGUUUGACUUCAAGUAAAAAAAAGUAUGCCAUUGCUACAAACUGUAUCAGGGAUUCUCAGGGGCACCACGGGUUGGCCACACAGUUCCAAAUGGUGUCCAUUUCUAGAGAUGCUCUACCUUCCCUCAAAACUCUAUACAAAAUGCAGUACAAUUUCAAAAAUGUCUAUCUCUCCAUUCUUACAGAUGGACCCGAUUAUAAACAGAAUCACAGUUGCUAUAGAAUAUGAUAAAAAUCCCUGGAAUUGGCAUCAUAAGGCGUAAUACAUGCAUCGUUUCUGGUUCUGCAUCGCUGCCUAUCUGAGUAGAAGGAUGCAGUGUGGACAGGAACCUUGGCAUAAUCUGGGGCCUGUAGGGAAGAGAAAGAAGUCUCUGAGGAAGUAAUUGCAGAGCAGUUGGGAACCUGAGAAUGGCCAACAACUGUGUUUAGUGGGAACAUCACAUGCUUGAGCACCUGCUCUAGGGACUCAAGUCCACCCGUGUCAGGAGAGGACAUGGGCUGACCCACAUUCCCUGGUGCUCUCCCCUUCCCAUAUGACAUUCAGAGUAGGGAAUUGCAAGCCUGCUAGCUCUUUGACCCUCCAAGUGAGCCUGCCAGGGUGCUGUACAGGUAGUUACAGAGUAACCUGAUCGCUGAACCAAGCAGAUCCUUAAUUUUAACAGAGAGAACGUUGCUUUGACCAAAUGGCUGGAUUAAUUGUCAUAGAGCCCCUUCCUUGAGCAGGCCUGUACAGCUGAUUACAAUUUUGUUCUCUGCUGUGGCUCAAAGACAUCCCUAAACA